rnacentral:rRNA from 1 species
CCUACGGGUGGCAGCAGUGGGGGAUAUUGCACAAUGGAGGGAACUCUGAUGCAGCGACGCCGCGUGAGGGAAGAAGGUUUUCGGAUUGGAAACCUCUGUCUACGGUGACGCAACGAGACGGAAGCCGAGGGGGAAGCCACGGCUAACUACGUGACAGCAGCCGCGGUACUACGUAGGUGGCAAGCGUUGUCCGGAAUUACUGGGUGUAACGGGAGCGUAGGCGGGAAAGCAAGUUGAAUGUUUAAGGUACGGGCUCAACCUGUACAAGCGUUCAAAACUGUUUUUCUUGAGUGGAGGAGAGGUAAGCGGAAUUCCUAGUGUAGCGGUGAAAUGCGUAGAUAUUAGGAGGAACACCAGUGGCGAAGGCAGCUUACUGGGCUUUAACUGACGCUGAGGCUCGAAAGCGUGGGUAGCGAACAGGAUUAGAUACCCGUGUAGUC